UUGAUUUUUACAGAAGAUUACAUUUGGAGCCAAUUAUCAAUAUAAGUUCUUUUCAAUGGAUUAUUUACCAGUUUAGGUACUUACUUUUGUGUUAAGGCAAUGACUUAUUUGCAUCUAUGAUAACAAUAAAUAUUUGACAUGGAAAGCCAAAAUAUUGAAAGCAAUUGACCUUACGACAGGAUUUGAUUGACAGGUCCUAUCAGCCAAUCAGAAUACAGCGCUGAUAAGCCGUGUUGUUAUCCGCCAUUUUGUCCGUCAAACUGACCAGAGUCCGUCAUAUACAUGCAUUGACAUUUCCUCGCCUUUUUAAGUAUUAUGGUAAAAAGGUGUUGUAAUGACACUUGUAAUUCGGAUACAAGGUAGCCAGAACGGCGUGGAAUUCGUUCCAUUUCCGAAACAAGCGAGAAAAAUGCAAUUGCUGGAUCAGACUCUGUGGAAGACAUCACCAACAGUUGAACUUCGAAAUUUUGAAAGAUCGUUCAAAGGCGAAAGAUCUAUACGUCUGUAAAAAACACUUUGUCGACGGGAAACCCAGUCAAGUAAACCCUGACCCUCAAGCAGCUACUGUACUGUUUGGUGUAUUUGACAAGCUUACACCGGGACCGGCUCACAUCAGCUAGACCUCCUCCAAAAAUCAGAUUAAUAUCUGAACCACCCUAAAAAAAACUAGAACAGAACGGACUGAAGCUAACACCAUAGGUACAUCCUUCCAUGAAUCCAACAACGCAACAUGCUGAACGACUUCAAGGACUCUCUUCAAAAGACCACACUUUCCUGAAAUAAAUAAAAGAUGCCACUAUUAAAAUAAAUCAGUUACAUGUCUUGUUAAAUAUUUUAAUUCUGGCUGUAAAUGCUACUGCAUUUGAUGUUUGCUUUCUACAUGUAUAUAAUAAUGAAAUAUUGACAAGAAAAUAGCUAACUGUA